GACGAACGCUGGCGGCGUGCUUAACACAUGCAAGUCGAACGGAAAGGCCCUGCUUUUGUGGGGUGCUCGAGUGGCGAACGGGUGAGUAACACGUGAGUAACCUGCCCUUGACUUUGGGAUAACUUCAGGAAACUGGGGCUAAUACCGGAUAGGAGCUCCUGCUGCAUGGUGGGGGUUGGAAAGUCUCGGCGGGUGGGGAUGGACUCGCGGCUUAUCAGCUUGCUGGUGGGGUAGUGGCUUACCAAGGCUUUGACGGGUAGCCGGCCUGAGAGGGUGACCGGCCACAUUGGGACUGAGAUACGGCCCAGACUCCUACGGGAGGCAGCAGUGGGGAAUAUUGCACAAUGGGCGGAAGCCUGAUGCAGCAACGCCGCGUGCGGGAUGACGGCCUUCGGGUUGUAAACCGCUUUCGCCUGUGACGAAGCGUGAGUGACGGUAAUGGGUAAAGAAGCACCGGCUAACUACGUG
rnacentral:rRNA from 1 species